UACGGGGGGGGCAAGCGUUGUUCAGAAUUACUGGGCGUAAAGGGCUCGUAGGUGGCCAACUAAGUCAGACGUGAAAUCCCUCGGCUUAACCGGGGAACUGCGUCUGAUACUGGAUGGCUUGAGUUUGGGAGAGGGACGCGGAAUUCCAGGUGUAGCGGUGAAAUGCGUAGAUAUCUGGAGGAACACCGGUGGCGAAGGCGGCCCACUGGUCCGGUACUGACGCUGAGGUGCGAAAGCGUGGGGAGCAAACAGG
rnacentral:rRNA from 1 species